GAUGAACGCUAGCGGCAGGCUUAACACAUGCAAGUCGAGGGGUAGAAGUCUUCGGACUUUGAGACCGGCGCACGGGUGCGUAACGCGUAUGCAAUCUGCCUUGUACAAAGGGAUAGCCCAGAGAAAUUUGGAUUAAUACCUUAUAGUAUAACGAUACGGCAUCAUAUUGUUAUUAAAGAUUUAUCGGUACAAGAUGAGCA
rnacentral:rRNA from 1 species